rnacentral:rRNA from 1 species
GUGGGGGAUAUUGCACAAUGGGGGGAACCCUGAUGCAGCGACGCCGCGUGAAGGAAGAAGUAUCUCGGUAUGUAAACUUCUAUCAGCAGGGAAGAAAAUGACGGUACCUGACUAAGAAGCCCCGGCUAACUACGUGCCAGCAGCCGCGGUAAUACGUAGGGGGCAAGCGUUAUCCGGAUUUACUGGGUGUAAAGGGAGCGUAGGCGGCAGUGCAAGUCAGAAGUGAAAGCCCGGGGCUCAACUCCGGGACUGCUUUUGAAACUGUACAGCUUGAUUGCAGGAGAGGCAAGUGGAAUUCCUAGUGUAGCGGUGAAAUGCGUAGAUAUUAGGAGGAACACCAGUGGCGAAGGCGGCUUGCUGGACUGUAAAUGACGCUGAGGCUCGAAAGCGUGGGGAGCAAACAGG